AGCAGCCGCGGUAAUUCCAGCUCCAAUAGCGUAUAUUAAAGUUGUUGCAGUUAAAAAGCUCGUAGUUGAAUUUCGGGGUUAGUAGGUUGGUCAUGCCUCUGGUAUGUACUGGUCUCACUGAUUCCUCCUUCCUGAUGAACCGUAAUGCCAUUAAUUUGGUGUUGCGGGGAAUUUGGACUGUUACUUUGAAAAAAUUAGAGUGUUUAAAGCAAGCUAACGCUUGAAUACAUUAGCAUGGAAUAAUGAAAUAGGACGUUCGAUCCUAUUUUGUUGGUUUCUAGGAUUGACGUAAUGAUUAAUAGGGAUAGUUGGGGGCAUUAGUAUUCAAUUGUCAGAGGUGAAAUUCUUGGAUUUAUUGAAGACUAACUACUGCGAAAGCAUUUGCCAAGGAUGUUUUCAUUAAUCAAGAACGAAAGUUAGGGGAUCGAAGACGAUCAGAUACCGUCGUAGUCUUAACCAUAAACUAUGCCGACUAGGGAUCGGAUGAUGUUAAUUUUUAAUGACUCAUUCGGCGCCUUAA
rnacentral:rRNA from 1 species